GAUAGUUUCGUUUUUGCUCCGUGCAUUGUCGCGCGCGCCUGUUCCGCUAGUGUUGCAGUGCUUGGUUGCGUGUUGCGUGGCUCGAGAAACGUUGACUUCGCGGGAAACAGCCAGAAAAUGCCUCGUGUGUGUAGUGUUGAGGGCUGUAUAAACGGCCCGAGGCGCUUGGUCAGGGGCAGCGGCAGUGUUGACCCGACUGUGUCCUUUCAUGUGGUGCCGCGCGAUGAGCCCCGGCGUUCGCAAUGGCUCAGUGCUCUGCCGAUGAUAAAACGGCAAAGGGAUGAGCCAGAGAAACAAAUGGUAUGCUCUCUGCAUUUCUCGGCCUCGGAUUAUGUUUAUAAUCCUGCCCUCGGAAAGUCUCUUGGCGUGCCCCAGAGACCAGUCCUUUCUCGGGCAGCUGUUCCCUCAGUGUCGCCUUCAUCAAAUCCCCUACUGGUGCCCCUGCAACAGCAAUCUGGAGGCUCGGUGAGUGUUGAAUGUCAUUAAAAAAAAGCCACGAAAAAACUAUACCGAGUACGCGCGCAACUUUCUGUGCUUGUUAUUUUUCAGGUUGCUAUUGCCGAGUCCGCGAUCGAAAGCGAUGCCGCCGGUGCACCUGUGGAAAUUCCAACUGAGAGUGACGUUGCCGAGACCGAGAGGUUGCAGCACGAUGCAGCCACUGGGCCCGUAGGAAGACAUGGAGAGGUGCUGGCUGCUGCUACUGGUGCCGCCGGCUUACAGACGCAAAAGGAUUCUUUCCAAUGCCCUGCAUGUGGUACGACUGGCCGCAGCGUUGGACAUGACAAAAGUGUGCAAGUUCAUGUGCGGGGUAUAAGUGUUGGUGUUCAAGUGAACUUGACCAUAAAAGAAACGAAAGAUGAGGGCCUGCAGGUUGACAUUCAGGAUGUGCCGCUGACAUCAACACCAGUGAAGCGACGACGUAUCCUUGAUGAACCCA